AUUGAACGCUGGCGGCAUGCUUUACACAUGCAAGUCGAACGGCAGCACGAAAGAGCUUGCUCUUUUGGUGGCGAGUGGCGAACGGGUGAGUAAUGCAUCGGAACGUACCGAGUAAUGGGGGAUAACUGUCCGAAAGGAUAGCUAAUACCGCAUACGCUUUGGGAAGGAAAGUGGGGGCUCUUCGGACCUCACGUUAUUCGAGCGGCCGAUGUCUGAUUAGCUAGUUGGUGGGGUAAAGGCCUACCAAGGCGACGAUCAGUAGCGGGUCUGAGAGGAUGAUCCGCCACACUGGGACUGAGACACGGCCCAGACUCCUACGGGAGGCAGCAGUGGGGAAUUUUGGACAAUGGGCGCAAGCCUGAUCCAGCCAUGCCGCGUGUCUGAAGAAGGCCCUCGGGUUGUAAAGGACUUUUGUUAGGGAAGAAAAGGAUAGUGUUAAUACCAUUAUCUGCUGACGGUACCUAAAGAAUAAGCACCGGCUAACUACGUG
rnacentral:rRNA from 1 species